GAUGACGUCACGACGCACGUAUUUUGAUUUUUACCAGUCGUUCAAGGCAGACGGAUUCAGUCCCAAGAAGCUAAAGUUUUUCAAAGACAUUUGUAGGGAGGACUUUGCAGCUAAUGAUUUCCUAAGGCUGAACCAAAACCUGCCAGACUAAAGUUAAUUUGGGAGAGAAAGACGUUGUAAACUUAAUCGUCUUGACAUUCUUCAAUGAGUAAUUGUUCAAUUUUUAGGCAAAUACUGUACACUUUGAAUGCUGUGA